CUCCUCCUCAGUGGAAAGGGUAAAGCCUUUCGCUUAAACCCCGACCACACGCAGCCGCCGCCGGCGAUCCUUUUCCCUCCUCCCAUGUCGUGCGCCGCUGCGGCAGCCCCGGGGAGGCACACGGAAGCUCAACGCCCGAGCUCGACGCCCUCCACACAGUAGCCCGCGGCGCGCGCCCCCGCCAUGAAACCCUGCCCCUUCGGAUGCGCUUCCGACCGCCCAUUCCCCUCCGCCUCCUCCUGCCUCAGCUCUGGCGCCGUCCUUCGCUUCCUCCCGCACUUCUCCCUAGGCCCAUAUCCUCAUGUCCUUCCGCGGCAGCCGUGGUGGCGGCCACGGAUUCCGAGGAGGAUGCCGUGGUUGCUAGGGAUCCACUGCUAGCGCCUCAUUUUGUGGGCGGGGUAGGAGGGUCGCCUAGAUUUGGGGAGGGCAAGGCGGAGUUCGAGAGAAAGGCCUCGAUUGCCGCAAGGAUCAAGCUCUGCUAUGAACUGCUGCGACAGAGGAGGUGGCGGGAGAUGCGGGGCGGCUUGGCACAGAUGGUCAGCGAACAAGGAUCUGGGUCUGCAGCCACUCUCUGUGACAUCUUGUGGAGUGAAUUCAGAGAGUAUGAUUCCAGCGGUGUUGUAUGGGAUGCUCUAGCAAAUAGUUAUGCAAGAACUCAGAUGAUUCAUGAUGCUCUUUACGUUCUCAGUAAAAUGAACAGCCUGAAUAUGCAAAUAUCAGUUUCCACCUAUGAUAGUUUAUUGUAUGGUCUACGGAUGACAGACAUGGCAUUGGAGCUUUUUGAUGAAAUGGAGGCAUAUGGUAUCCCUUACAGCGAAUAUUCACAUAGCAUUCUCAUAGAUGGCCUCUGCAAGCAAAAUAAAGUUGGAGAGGCUUUAUCUUUCCUUCAGGAGGCAAGGGAAGGGGGAACAUUUAGACCAUUGGGAAUGUCCUUUAACACUCUGAUGUCUGCAUUGUGUAAUUGGGGAUUUAUUCAGCCUGCAAAAUCCUUUUUAUGUCUGAUGCUGAAGUAUGGAUUAAACCCUAACAGGUAUACCUAUUCUACACUUAUACAUGGUCUGUGUAAGGUAGGUUACCUAGAUGAAGCAGUGAAUCUUCUUGAGAGAGUGACAAAAGAAGGAAUGAAACUUGAGACUGUCACCUACAACAGCCUUAUUAAUGGUUACCGAUUGCUUGGUUUAACAAGAGAAAUUCCGAAAAUAAUUCAGUUUAUGAGAUACCAAGGGAUUGAACCUGAUCUUGUUACUUAUACUAUACUUAUUGCUGGCCACUGCGAAGGUGGUGAUGUUGAAGAAGGGAUGAAGAUAAGAAAGGACAUCCUAGACCAAGGGCUGCAGUUGAAUAUUGUCACAUACAGUGUCCUUCUAAAUGCUCUCUUCAAAAAGGGUUUGGUCUAUGAGGUUGAGAAUUUACUUGGUGAGAUAUAUAGUUUUGGUCUAGAUAUGGAUGUCAUUGCAUAUUCCAUCCUCAUCCACGGGUACUGCAAGCUAGGGGAAAUUGAAAGGGCACUGGAAGUUUGUGAUGUUAUGUGCUGUUCUCAGAAGGUAAUGCCAACCUCACCGAACCAUUUAUCAAUUCUUCUUGGACUUUGCAAGAAAGGACUGCUAGUUGAAGCAAGAUGGUAUUUGGAAAAUGUAGCUAGCAGAUAUCAGCCAGGUGAUGUAAUACUUUAUAAUGUAGUCAUUGAUGGUUAUGCGAAGAUUGGUGAUAUUGGUAAUGCUGUCCGUCUGUAUGAUCAGAUUGUUGUGGCUGGUAUGAAUCCAACCAUUAUCACAUGUAAUUCUCUUCUGUAUGGCUAUUGCAAAUUUGGGGAUUUACCAGCUGCAGAGAGCUAUUUCAGGGCUAUUGAGAUAAGUAAUUUGCUGCCAACAGCAGUAACAUACACGACCUUUAUGGAUGCACUCUCUGAAGCUGGAAAAGUUAACGCUGUGCUCAGUCUUUUUUAUGAAAUGGUUGAAAAAGGGAUCAAGCCAAAUGCUGUAACUUACAGUGUUGUUAUUAAAGGACUUUGUAAGCAGCUCAGAUUCCGUGAUGCUGUCCAUUUUCUGGACAAUAUGGAUGGAGAAGGUAUUAAUGCCGACCCAAUAACUUACAAUACGCUUAUACAAGGAUUCUGCGAAGCACAUGACAUCCAGAUGGCUUUUUGCGUACAUGACCGUAUGUUAUGCUGUCGUCUAGUGCCCACACCUGUUACUUAUAACUUGCUUAUCAAUGUGCUGUGCUUGAAGGGGAAAGUUAUUCAAGCAGAAAUGCUACUGGAAUCCCUCAGAGAAAAGGGCAUUGCAUUGAGAAAAUUUGCAUACACAACAGUAAUCAAAGCUCAGUGUGCAAAAGGAAGGCCUUACGAUGCCAUUUCAUUUGUUGGUAAGCUUAUUGAUGAUGGUUUUGAAGCUUCUAUUGAAGACUUCAGUGCUGCAAUCAAUCGACUUUGCAAAAGGAAUUUUCCUAAAGAAGCCAUUAUGUUCAUUCCGAUUAUGUUGUCUGUUGGUGUUUUCCCAGACACGCAAGUUUAUUUUGUGCUUGUUAGAGCUCUGCGGAAAAGUAACAUGCUUUACUAUAUACCCAUAUUGCACGCACUUUCUGUCAAAACUGGCAUAUAGUACCCUGAUCAUGUAUUGAGUGUUAAUGACUUGAGGUUCUGUGUCCUCAAAUGUUUGUAUAGAUGAGGAUUGAGGACAACAUGGGCUGCAUGUAACCACAUGAUCAGUGCAGUUAUGCCAAGGCAUAAGGCAUAUUACAAGUGAAACUGUGAACGUCCAUAAGUCAUAGUAAAAGUCGUGCAUUGGAGACAUUGAAAAGUGAAAUGGGCCUCAUAUUCCUAGAUAGAGGGAGUAAUCAGUUUGGAUGUAUCAACAAUCAAACAUAUGCAACGACCUUUCAUCAGCUCAUUUCAGAUGCAGUGAGAGUAGACUGGGGAUAUUUCGCUGAUCAUGCUUUGAUCCUCAAAAAUGUGUUUUCCCUCUUUUCUCACGAUAUGCAGGACCAUUGAUGUUCAGUAGUAUACUACAAUUGAAAUACACCAGGUUCUAAACUCAAGAUCGAACGGCGUUAAGGUGAGCCAUCACCAUCGCCCAGCCCUACCUUGUCGCUGACUGGAGUAACAAGAUAGGAAACAAACUGAGCGUGAAUCUGCGAGUGGCAGUGGUCAUGGAGGCAGCCAAUUAAGCGUCAUCGGGAGCUGACCAGAGGUGGGGGGAUAUGUACUUCCAACGGCACACAAAGAUGUCACCGCGCCAGUGGAACAUCAGCACUGUAACAACAAUUUUACUUUGCUAUUCAACGGUCACUGUGCGAGCAUACUCGCAGAAAACCAAGUUGAUCCCAGGAAAUCCAUGAACGCACUUGUCGGAUGGAAGAGGACAUGGCCUGAGGCUAGGCAUCUCUAUCUGGGCAGGGUGGUCCAUAAUAUUCUGCAAGAUUUCUUCCAUGGAGCUAGCACCUCCUGAGAUCUAAAUGAGCGUGCAUGACCGAAAGCCAAAACUUGAGGGAUGGGUACAUGGGUGUUGGCCGUUUGUUAACUCUACUCAGCACACGUUCCUGUCAGUUUUCGUCCUUGAUGUGCUCUAGUCGUUUUCGAUCCUUUACUGAGCAAGGCUCCGCGUUUCCUGUCUUUACGCAGUUUUUCGCGGUUGCAUGCGUGGCUGUUGAUCCUGUAUAGUUUUCUGUUGUUGAUGUAUGUUGUAAUCAUAUCAUGCUUACUGGUGGUCAGAGGCAACAGUUGUUUGUAUUAAGAGGUACGAAAUCAAUGAUGUGCAUUGUUGAACUGUA